rnacentral:rRNA from 1 species
CCUACGGGAGGCAGCAGUGAGGAAUAUUGGUCAAUGGGCGAGAGCCUGAACCAGCCAAGUCGCGUGAAGGAUGAAGGUUCUAUGGUUUGUAAACUUCUUUUAUAUGGGAAUAAAGUGAGGAACGUGUUCCUUUUUGUAUGUACCUUAUGAAUAAGCAUCGGCUAACUCCGUGCCAGCAGCCGCGGUAAUACGGAGGAUGCGAGCGUUAUCCGGAUUUAUUGGGUUUAAAGGGUGCGUAGGUGGUUAAUUAAGUCAGCGGUGAAAGUUUGUGGCUCAACCAUAAAAUUGCCGUUGAAACUGGUAGACUUGAGUAUAUUUGAGGUAGGCGGAAUGCGUGGUGUAGCGGUGAAAUGCAUAGAUAUCACGCAGAACUCCGAUUGCGAAGGCAGCAUACUAAACUCUCACUGACACUGAAGCACGAAAGCGUGGGGAUCAAACAGGAUUAGAUACCCGAGUAGUC